CGUAGAUCAAAGGCUUGCACUAGAAAUACUAAUCUUGUGUGUUAAAUUUACCUGCAGUGUUUUAUGUCAUUGGCUGUAUACCUGUAAAUAGAAACGGAAGGCCACGGCGCCGCCAGCCCAAGCCCAUUACGUAGCUAAAUAGACACCCAGUAAAGAAAAAAAAUUGUGGCGGCCAUUCACGGAUGGCCCGCUACCGCCGCUCAUCCUCUCCAUGGCGGUUGAGUCGGGCGCCCCCCAAUCCCUCGCUCCCCCCCCCCCCCCCCAAACUCUUCUUCUCCCCAGAAGCAGCUCCACCGCCGCCGCCCCAUCCCUCCACUCCUCCCUGAACUCGUCUUCUCCGGCCGCCUCCAUCCCGCCGGUUGAGCACCCGGUAUCUGGCGAGAUCUGUGGGGGGCCGCAUGAGCCCGUCCAUGUCCGUGUGGAGGAGAAGGACGGCAGCAGCCGGAAGAUCAAGCAGGAAUGGCAGUUGGCCAUGGCGUAGGUCCGGAAGUUCGAAUACCCGGCGAUGAUGACGGACAAUGAGAUCGCGAGGCUUGGCGUCCUCGUCUCGGAGGUGGACCGACCGGUGCAGCCGCCGCUGCCCUGGUACGCCACCGGCUUCAUGCCGCCGGGCCUCAUGGAGGUAGAGGCCCGACGCCGGGCGCUCGAGGACUUGGCCCCGCAACCGGUGCAACCGCCGCCUCCACCUCCGUCGUACAACCCGUGGGCGGCUCCGCCUCCACCUCCGUCGUACAACCCGUGGGCGGCUCCACCUCCACCACCGGCGUGGGCUGCUCCACCUCCACCACCAGAGUGGGCUGCUCAAUCUCCACUACCGGCGUGGACUGCUCCAUCGCAACCACCGGCGUGGACUGCUCCAUCGCAACCACCGGCGUGGGCUGCUCCACCUCCACCAUUGUCGGCGGCACCGGCGGAACACCGUCGCUUGCCAACUGCCGUGGCCGGUACCGGAGCUCGUCGUGACGAUGACGGCGAUGAGUAGACGCGGUCGAUUUCAAACAUUUGAACCGAUGUAAACGGACGUGCGCGGAUAUUUUGAGCGUUCGAAAUGCAUCGCUCCGUUGGAGAUGGGCUAAUGUUCUGAACUUCCUAGUGUAUUUUGGAGACCGGGGAUUUACUGAAGCACUGCCUGUGAUGCAUGUACUACUGCUGAAUUUUUAGCUCACUGAGCUGGAUAGUGUGCUGAGAUAUCACAAUUGUAGAGAUUUGUAUGCACUA